rnacentral:rRNA from 1 species
CCUACGGGAGGCAGCAGUGAGGAAUAUUGGUCAAUGGACGCAAGUCUGAAGCAGCCAUGCCGCGUGCAGGAAGACGGCUCUAUGAGUUGUAAACUGCUUUUGUACGAGGGUAAACGCAGAUACGCGUAUCUGUCUGAAAGUAUCGUACGAAGAAGGAUCGGCCAACCACAUGCCAGCAGCCGCCGUAAUACGGAGGAUUCAAGCGUUACGCGGAUUUAUUGGGUUUAAAGGGUGCGUAGGCGGUCGGAUAAGUUAGAGGUGAAAUCCCGAGGCGCAACUUCGGAACUGCCUUUGAUACUGUUCGGCUAGAGAGUAGUAGCGGUAGGCGGAAUGUAUGGUGUAGCGGUGAAAUGCUUAGAGAUCAUAGAGAACACCGAUUGCGAAGGCAGCUUACCAAGCUACUUCUGACGUUGAGGCACGAAAGCGUGGGGAGCAAACAGGAUUAGAUACCCGAGUAGUC